GAUGAACGCUGGCGGCGUGCCUAAUACAUGCAAGUCGAGCGAACAGACGAGGAGCUUGCUUCUCUGACGUUAGCGGCGGACGGGUGAGUAACACGUGGAUAACCUACCUAUAAGACUGGGAUAACUUCGGGAAACCGGAGCUAAUACCGGAUAAUAUUUUGAACCGCAUGGUUCAAUAGUGAAAGACGGUUUUGCUGUCACUUAUAGAUGGAUCCGCGCCGCAUUAGCUAUUUGGUAAGGUAACGGCUUACCAAGGCAACGAUGCGUAGCCGACCUGAGAGGGUGAUCGGCCACACUGGAACUGAGACACGGUCCAGACUCCUACGGGAGGCAGCAGUAGGGAAUCUUCCGCAAUGGGCGAAAGCCUGACGGAGCAACGCCGCGUGAGUGAUGAAGGUCUUCGGAUCGUAAAACUCUGUUAUUAGGGAAGAACAAAUGUGUAAGUAACUAUGCACGUCUUGACGGUACCUAAUCAGAAAGCCACGGCUAACUACGUG
rnacentral:rRNA from 1 species